GAUGAACGCUGGCGGCGUGCUUAACACAUGCAAGUCGAACGGUGAAGGCGGAGCUUGCUCUGCUGGAUCAGUGGCGAACGGGUGAGUAACACGUGAGCAAUCUGCCCCUGACUCUGGGAUAAGCGCUGGAAACGGCGUCUAAUACUGGAUACGAGCUGCGAAGGCAUCUUCAGCAGCUGGAAAGAAUUUCGGUCAGGGAUGAGCUCGCGGCCUAUCAGCUUGUUGGUGAGGUAAUGGCUCACCAAGGCGUCGACGGGUAGCCGGCCUGAGAGGGUGACCGGCCACACUGGGACUGAGACACGGCCCAGACUCCUACGGGAGGCAGCAGUGGGGAAUAUUGCACAAUGGGCGAAAGCCUGAUGCAGCAACGCCGCGUGAGGGACGACGGCCUUCGGGUUGUAAACCUCUUUUAGCAGGGAAGAAGCGAAAGUGAUGGUACCUGCAGAAAAAGCGCCGGCUAACUACGUG
rnacentral:rRNA from 1 species